rnacentral:lncRNA from 1 species
UCCCUCUCUCGAGCGUCGAAUUUAGAACAUCAAUUCAUUCAAUUGGUGAUCAGGCAACUGAGAGCAUUAAGCAAGAACAAUACAAAUCAAUUCUGGAAAAUUAAAUGGAAAUACUAUAAAGAAAUUGAAUCAUGUCUCAAAUAGGUUACAUCAAAUCCUAGAUUUAAUAACUUAGUUCAUGAUUGAGAAGAAGAACAUGAUAAAAUACAAAUUAAAUCGCAUGGAGAAGAGAAAGAUAAAAAAAAACUCAGGUUGCUACUCUAUUUCUCAAUCUUGUUGCUUGAUUUCUCAGUUUCUCCCUUCUUCUUCUCCAAAAUCGGGUGGAUCUUCCUUCAAUUGGUGCCUCUCUUUUUCUUGCCUCUUCAGCCGUCUAAAACCCUUCUCUUGUUCUUCUUCUAGGUAUUUAUAUUUUCUAAGGGUCCUCAAGGGUUAGGGUAUGAUUUUUGGGCCGAAAAGAUACUUAAAAACUCGGGUUUUAACGUUUUGGGAACAGGCGCCAUGGCGCCCAGGUCUGGCGCCCAAGUUUCUGCUCUCUUUUUUUUCAUUCACUGGGCGCCAUGGCGCCAAUGCCAUUGCUUUGCUUCUCUUCUCUUUGUUUUUCCAAGCCUAUUUUCCACUCCAAUCUUAUUCAAUACUUGCUUAUUCAUACUCCAUUUCAUUGAUCAUCAUUUUUGCUCAUCACCGGCUCCCAAUAGUGGUAUUUUCUCGAGAGUUGUCUAAACUGCAAAACAACACUAACACACACACAUCAAAACAUUCAAAAAUGCUCAAGAACACAUCAAAAAACAUGAUUUAGAAGCUUUAGUUUAAUGGGUGAAUUACACUUAUCAAACACCCCCAAAUUUAGUUCUUUGCUUGUACUCGAGCAAACACAAAACUAAAGAUAAUUAUUAACGAGCACAAAAAACACGACUAAGACAGACAAAGUCACUCAAAAGAAACUUUAUGUUAGACACCUUGCAUUUAUUGCCCAAGAUUAAAAACACAGCGUCAAAUUCAUGAAGUACUUCAAAACUAUAAGGCAGGCGUCAAAUCCUCGCUCAUUCAAUGCAAACGGGUGUGUGUGUGGAGAGUUAAGCAUAACGCUGCACAAUAAUAAAUUGACCCAAUUUCUGACAUUAAAAGUAAAAUAUUUCCUUGCCUUGCUCGUGGGAUUCACACACACCCCCAAACUUGUUUUCUUUUCUCUUUUCAAGGUGUAUUCUAAAAUUGAUUUUUUUUCAAUGCUAAUUUCUUACAUCGCUCAAGUUUAGUUAGAUUUCACUAUUGCAGUUCAACCUAUCAACAGAUGAGGAUUCUCCUUAUUUUUGACUGCUUCAACCUCUAGGAAUCAACUAAGUUACUAACCUCUCAUCAAAGGUUUAAUCCUCUAAAACAAGUGUUCGGUGUUUAAUCAAAGUAUGUGAUAUAUAAAUUAUAUGUGUGUGUGUGUGUGUAUUCUUUAAACUCCCUUUGUGUGGACGUCACUCCCUCAAGCUUUCUAAAUGACCCUUGUAACGAGCUUUAAGCCGAUGACUCCCAAAUCAGACAACUUUUGGGCACCAGGUUUUAAACCCUUACAGGCUUAAUUACUCGAGUCAUAAAGGCUACGAAGAGACGAUUCACAAUGAGAUUAUUAAAGUUGUCCUCAUUGGGAUCUUUUUUUUAUGUAAUGAUUAGUGCAA